GUGAAGUUUUGGAAAAGCCAAGGGUGUGCUUUCAAAGGGUUUUGAAGUGUUCAGUGCGAAGUGGUAGUGCAAAAAGGAGAAAUUGCUGCCAGGUAAUGCAAUAGGAGCUGAGUCUCUUACUAAUUCGGCUCAAAUAAUGUCAAAAUGAAAAGGAAUUGCUUCCAAAUUAAAGUGGUAGCAUGUAAAGGUCCCUUGGUAUCUUUUGGACAUGUUUGGGUGAAAUCGGAGUGAAAACGGAAAAUUUAGAAUUUUCUGUAAAGAACGGGACUGAGAAAAUUAGCAGAAAAUACACAGUGUCAGAAAAUUAUAAAAAUUGGCAGAGAUGUCAGGAACAUUUUAAUGAGGCUAGAUUUGAAGUUUCAGAUUUUUCUGACACCUGUAGAGAGAGAAAUAGCAUUUGGAAGUUAUCUGAUAAAGAUUACAGUUCGGGACAGUUCGCAGUGACCAAACGGGGUCGAAACUGAAAUAUUAAAAUUUUAGUGGACUUGUUAUGUAAAACCGAACAUGCCUGUCAAAUUUGAGCGCAAACUGACAUUCAUAAGGGCUCCGGCGAAAAGUAUCAGAUU
rnacentral:lncRNA from 1 species